GAUGAACGCUGGCGGCGUGCUUAACACAUGCAAGUCGAACGGGAUCCAUCAGGCUUUGCUUGGUGGUGAGAGUGGCGAACGGGUGAGUAAUGCGUGACCGACCUGCCCCAUACACCGGAAUAGCUCCUGGAAACGGGUGGUAAUGCCGGAUGCUCCAGUUGAUCGCAUGGUCUUCUGGGAAAGCUUUCGCGGUAUGGGAUGGGGUCGCGUCCUAUCAGCUUUGACGGCGGGGUAACGGCCCACCGUGGCUU
rnacentral:rRNA from 1 species